rnacentral:rRNA from 1 species
ACUGAACGCUGGCGGCAUGCCUUACACAUGCAAGUCGAACGGCAGCACGGGUGCUUGCACCUGGUGGCGAGUGGCGAACGGGUGAGUAAUACAUCGGAACGUACCUUAUCGUGGGGGAUAACGCAGCGAAAGCUGUGCUAAUACCGCAUACGCCCUGAGGGGGAAAGCGGGGGAUCGCAAGACCUCGCGCGAUUAGAGCGGCCGAUGCCUGAUUAGCUAGUUGGUGGGGUAAAAGCCCACCAAGGCGACGAUCAGUAGCUGGUCUGAGAGGACGAUCAGCCACACUGGGACUGAGACACGGCCCAGACUCCUACGGGAGGCAGCAGUGGGGAAUUCUGGACAAUGGGGGCAACCCUGAUCCAGCAAUGCCGCGUGAGUGAAGAAGGCCUUCGGGUUGUAAAGCUCUUUUGUCAGGGAAGAAACACCGGCUCUAACACAGUCCGGGAAUGACGGUACCUGAAGAAUAAGCACCGGCUAACUACGUGCCAGCCGCCGCCGUAA